AGUUCCUGGGAAUAAAUAGUGACAAAACGGACUCUGCUACUAUGUCAAUGGAUCAGGCUAUCGACACAGGUCCAUUCCAUCCACGCCCCCUGAUUUUAUUUAUUUCUUCUGUACGAGUGAAGAAAUGAACAGUAAAAACAAUGUAUGUAUGUAUGGAUGGACAUAUAUAUAUAUAUACAGAUUAUAUAUAUAUAUAUAUCUAUAUGGCUGUUAUUUAUGACAGUAUUGACACAAUGGGGAUUUUCACAAAAAGAAGAAUAAGAAAAAGGAAAGUGCUUCAAAUUUUCAUAUACUAAGUCCAGGAGGACAGAGGAACAAAUCAACGAUUUCAUCGAUUCUUUUCAAGAGUCAAAAAUCAAAUUAUAAAACAGAAUUGUUGACAUUCCAAUGGAGAGAGAGAGGAAAAUCCAGUACAGUGUACAGUGCAUUCAUUGUGUGGAAAGAAGAUCUCUCUCACUUUGAACGUUUUUCCAUGAUAGGAAUCUUCAGGAAACAAGAAAAAAUAGACAAAAAUAAAAAAAAAAAAAACCGGGGAAAACCACUCUCAAUCCCUAACCAACACACAUUUUCACAUCUACGUCCUAUCAGACAACAGCAAUGGGAGCCCCAGCCGCCGACGAACAUUCCGCUUCACGUAGAACCAUAUCGAGCGCUGAAACUUCCUCUCCCAGCUCCGAAGCAGGUAGUGGAACGACGCAUACUUUGCCUCGUCGCGGAUGUUGUCGCGGUACACUUGGCGCACUAUCAUCGGGCCCACCGCGAGGCCGAACUCGCGCGUCUCAACCGCUGGCAGCCCGGCGGGGAGGAGCGCCUCCCAGUCUUCCUCGUCGUUUCCGGCUCUGUCGUUGUCGUUGUCGCUGUCGUUGCCAUUCCUCUCCUCAUCCGCCGC
rnacentral:sRNA from 1 species